GGAAGGCUGCAAAGGUGACUUGGCUGUGUCGCCUGUCACCCCCUUGGUCACCAGCAUCGACUCUGCUGAUGAAGUCAGCCAGGUGGGGAUCCGCAGCGCCCUGCACGGCUCCACGCGUACCCCACCUGAAACCGUGCGCUCUGCUGAGGACAACCACCAGCCCCGAUGAAAGAGGAGUGUCAUGGGGUCUCCGUGGCGGUGUGCCGAGGACAGCUAUGAAUUCAGCCAGACAAAAUGGGAAAAGUACUUAAAACACAGCUGCCAUUGGCACAUGCCUGCUGUC
rnacentral:snRNA from 1 species